rnacentral:rRNA from 1 species
UACGUAGGGGGCAAGCGUUGUCCGGAAUCAUUGGGCGUAAAGCGCGUGUAGGCGGUUCGGUAAGUCCGCUCUGAAAGCCCGGGGCUCAACCCCGGGAGGCGGGUGGAUACUGUCGGACUAGAGUGCGGAAGAGGCGAGUGGAAUUCCCGGUGUAGCGGUGAAAUGCGCAGAUAUCAGGAGGAACACCAAUGGCGAAGGCAGCACUCUGGGACGUGACUGACGCUGAGACGCGAAAGCGUGGGGAGCGAACAGG